rnacentral:tRNA from 1 species
ACUUUUAUGGUGUAAAAAACACCUUACAUUUUCACUGUAAAACCAAGAUUCACUCUUUAAAAGUU